rnacentral:rRNA from 1 species
AUUGAACGCUGGCGGCAGGCUUAACACAUGCAAGUCGAACGAGUGGCGGACGGGUGAGUAAUGUCUGGGAAACUGCCUGAUGGAGGGGGAUAACUACUGGAAACGGUCGCUAAUACCGCAUACCAUCAGAUGUGCCCAGAUGGGAUUAGCUUGUUGGUGGGGUAAUGGCUCACCAAGGCGACGAUCCCUGGCUGGUCUGAGAGGAUGACCAGCCAAACUGGAACUGUGACAGGGUCCAGACUCCUACGGGAGGCAGCAGUGGGGAAUAUUGCACAAUGGGCGCAAGCCUGAUGCAGCCAUGCGGCGUGUAUGAAGAAGGCCUUCGGGUUGUAAAGUACGUUCAGCGGGGAGGCGUUACCCGCAGAAGAAGCACCGGCUAACUCCGUGCCAGCAGCCGCGGUAAUAC